rnacentral:lncRNA from 1 species
CACCACCUCUCUUCUUCAGGAAGACUGCUUCUCUCACACUCUAACCAUCAGGUGCAAAUGAUGGCUACCAAUCAUCCACUCCCAUCCAGGGCCUCUGACCCGGGCUAAGCCAACUGGUCUCCUGGGACUCUUCAGCUGGCAUCAAGCUUGGGGAGAGGCACUGUUUUGACAGUAUUUGCACAUGGGAUUUACCUCCAUCCUUGGAUAUAUUUCUGUGACACCAGAGCAGUUUCCAUGAAGGCCCUGGAAGGGAAAUUUUCAAUCAACAAACAGCAAAGGAGCCCACUGACCAUGGGCACACUUUUUUUCUUAACAAAUAUUAUUGCUGAUGUCUUAUCACAUAAUCAACUCAUUAUAGAAAUUACGGCUAAGCAAAAUAAAAUGAAACCAC